CACAUAUUCGUGAUCCUCGUCAAAUUUGUGGUAAAGUUCAUGUUUUUUUUUGUACGUACGCGUACUUCCGGUUUCGAGAAUUAUCCUGAACUAUAGUUCAGGAAAAAUCUCGAUUUUGACCAAAUUCUGGUUUUCGUUUAAAGUACACGUAAUCGACCCCAAAUUUCACGGAGAUCACGAAUAUUUGGUUUAUUUGAUCGGCAGCUCAAUGGUUAAGGCGCUAUCGCUUACUUCCGGUCUACUUCCGGAAAAUUUACAUAAAAGUAGCAAGUGAGCUUUGUUGUCCGUACAUUUCUAAAGAUGAAAUGCUAGGUUUAAGCAAAUAAAAAUGUGCUUUUCAAGUUUUGUGGGUAUCUUAAGAGUUAAGACCAGUCCGUGAAAUCUCAAAUAAGUUGAGUUUUUAGGCGUGUCCAAUAGAUGGCGUGUUAAUUGUAUCAGUUAUGGGCUCAUGGCGGUUUGCUGUCAAGCUAAGCGAUUUUUUCUUCGAAAAUUACCAAUGUAUUUACAGGAGAAAACGUGUUGAAAGGGUCGUGCAGCUUACUGCUGUCAAGCUGUUCAAAAUCAUUGUAUUCUACUGAAUGUGCCAUCAAAUUGAAACAGGUUCUUUAUUACAGGUUUUUAACACAUUGGCAUGACAGAUUUGAUGAGAAGGAGGCAUUCCCAUAGUACAGGUUUCUAAAUUGGUGUGACAGACUUGAUGAGAAGUCCUGUCGUUUGAAGAAGAAGGACAAGGACUAUUCAGUCAACAAGGUUCCUUGUUCGCUAACCCGUUGGCUGCUACCCGAGCUGCUACCCUUGCAUCUCCCUGUUUACUUCCUUACACAGAUCCUCUUGAUUUGAGGGUAACUCUUUUGCUACUGAUCACAUCCACUGUUGUAAACUGAUGAGAGAAUGCUGCAUUUCAAGAAUGAUACAUUGUGUAGUUGUUAGAUAAAUGACAAGUGCAUAUCUGGGCUCCCUUCUUUUCUGUGGCCCCGUUUCCCUAACUAACCACUAACCAACGCCCGCCGGUGGUCACUCACCCGCUGUGAA